rnacentral:lncRNA from 1 species
CAGAAGUCAGGUCGGAUUAAGCCAUAGUACGGAAAAAACUAUGCUACCUGUGAGCCCCGUCCAAGGACGUUAAAAGAAGUCAGGCCACCACAAGUGCCAUAGCUUGAGUAAACUAUGCAGCCUGUAGCUCCACCUGAGAAGGUGUAAAAAAUCUGGGAGGCCACAAACCAUGGAAGCUGUACGCAUGGCGUAGUGGACUAGCGGUUAGAGGAGACCCCUCCCUUACAAAUCGCAGCAACAAUGGGGGCCCAAGGUGAGAUGAAGCUGUAGUCUCACUGGAAGGACUAGAGGUUAGAGG